GCAACCUGAAGCUGGCGCGCGAGUACCCCAGCGUGUUUCGCUCGCUGCUGGGCAUCUCGUGGAUGUGGUUCUUCGGCGCGGUGUUCCUGUCGCAGUUCCCGUCGUUCGCGAAGGAUGUGCUG
rnacentral:ncRNA from 1 species